rnacentral:rRNA from 1 species
GACGUAGGGCGCGAGCGUUGUCCGGAUUUAUUGGGCGUAAAGAGCUCGUAGGCGGCUUGUCGCGUCGAAUGUGAAAACUCGGGGCUCAACUCCGAGCUUGCAUUCGAUACGGGCAGGCUAGAGUUCGGUAGGGGAGAAUGGAACUCCUGGUGUAGCGGUGGAAUGCGCAGAUAUCAGGAAGAACACCGAUGGCGAAGGCAGUUCUCUGGGCCGUAACUGACGCUGAGGAGCGAAAGCGUGGGGAGCGAACAGG